GAGGGUCCGAGCGUUAUCCGGAUUUAUUGGGUUUAAAGGGUGCGUAGGCGGUUUUAUAAGUCAGCGGUGAAAUUCUCCGGCUCAACCGGGGGACUGCCGUUGAUACUGUAAGGCUAGGAUAUGGUUGCUGUGGGUGGAAUGUGUGGUGUAGCGGUGAAAUGCUUAGAGAUCACACAGAAUAUCGAUUGCGAAGGCAGCUCACAAAGCCAUUAUUGACGCUGAGGCACGAAAGUGUGGGGAUCAAACAGGA
rnacentral:rRNA from 1 species